rnacentral:rRNA from 1 species
CCUACGGGAGGCAGCAGUGAGGAAUAUUGGUCAACGGGCGCUAGCCUGAACCAGCCAAGUAGCGUGAAGGAUGACUGCCCUAUGGGUUGUAAACUUCUUUUAUAUGGGAAUAAAGUGCAGUAUGUAUACUGCUUUGCAUGUACCUUAUGAAUAAGCAUCGGCUAACUCCGUGCCAGCAGCCGCGGUAAUACGGAGGAUUCGAGCGUUAUCCGGAUUUAUUGGGUUUAAAGGGUGCGUAGGCGGGUUGUUAAGUCAGUGGUGAAAGUUUGCGGCUCAACCGUAAAAUUGCAGUUGAUACUGGCAGCCUUGAGUACAGGAGAGGUAGGCGGAAUGCGUGGUGUAGCGGUGAAAUGCAUAGAUAUCACGAAGAACUCCGAUUGCGAAGGCAGCCUGCUGGACUGUAACUGACGCUGAUGCUCGAAAGUGUGGGUAUCAAACAGGAUUAGAUACCCGAGUAGUC